UACACACUUCAUUUUUUAUUUCUCUCCUCUUUAGAUUCCCUCUCUUCCUCACAGUCCUCUCAAGAGGCGAUUAUUUUCUACGCUCUUCCAUUUCUUCACUCUACAAUUUCUUCGCAUUUUCUCAUCAAUUUCUCGCGAUAAUCUAUUAAGCUUGUAAUAAGCUAAAACUAGAUGGAGAGGUUUGGAAAUUAGUCAAUUUUGUAAAAGUGGAUUUGUCACCGCCACUUCUUAUGAUGCUCAAUUCCCGGUAUCAUUUGUGGAAUUUUUUUUAUUAUUGAAGCUAAUAAUGAUUUGAAUGAUAUAUUUUUAUUCGUUUUAACCCUUUAAUAAUUGAAUACAUUUGGAUUUGACAAAGGAAAUGCAAUGCUGCUGCUAGCCUGCUACAGUUAAUUUUGAGUUGAGAGGGAAGCAUAGAUAUGAUCUAUAAUACCGAUAGUAUUGGUAUAUGUUAACUUUGUGCAAUUGCCAUGUAAUUAUGUUUUUUUUUUAUAGCUAUUACUGUAGAAAUAUGCAAAACAUGGUCAGCACAUUGUGUCAUGAUUACUAUAAAAACAAGACACUGGUUGUAGUUUGACUCAGAGUUUUAGAUAUUAUUGAAUGACAUGCAUACUUGUGGUUUCUCAA